rnacentral:rRNA from 1 species
UACGUAGGGGGCAAGCGUUGUCCGGAUUUAUUGGGCGUAAAGAGCGUGUAGGCGGUUUGGUAGGUCCGCUGUGAAAACUCGAGGCUCAACCUCGAGACGCCGGUGGAAACCAUCAGACUAGAGUCCGGAAGAGGAGAGUGGAAUUCCUGGUGUAGCGGUGAAAUGCGCAGAUAUCAGGAAGAACACCCGUGACUAGGGCGGCUCUCUAGUACGGUACUGACGCUGAGACGCGAAAGCGUGGGGAGCGAACAGG